UCUGGUUGAUCCUGCCAGUAGUCAUAUGCUUGUCUCAAAGAUUAAGCCAUGCAUGUCUAAGUAUAAAUAGUAUACAGUGAAACUGCGAAUGGCUCAUUAAAACAGUUAUAGUUUAUUUGAUAAUUGACAAUUACAUGGAUAACCGUGGUAAUUCUAGAGCUAAUACAUGCUUAAACGCCCGACUUUAUGGAAGGGUGGUAUUUAUUAGACUGAAGCCAAUAUUCCUUGUGUCUAUUGCGGUGAUUCAUAAUAACUGAUCGAAUCUCUUUUUGAGAUAAAUCAUUCAAGUUUCUGCCCUAUCAGCUUUCGAUGGUAGUGUAUUGGACUACCAUGGCAGUAACGGGUAACGAAGAAUUAGGGUUCGAUUUCGGAGAGGGAGCAUGAGAAACGGCUACCACAUCUAAGGAAGGCAGCAGGCGCGUAAAUUACCCAAUCCUGACUCAGGGAGGUAGUGACAAGAAAUAGCAAACCGGGAACCUCAUGGUUUCACGGUAUUGCAAUGAGAACAAUUUAAAACCCUUAGCGAGAAUCAAGUGGAGGACAAGUCUGGUGCCAGCACCCGCGGUAAUUCCAGCUCCACUAGCGUAUAUUAAAGUUGUUGCAGUUAAAAAGCUCGUAGUUGAACCUCUGUCUGGGGCUAGUUUUGGCUUUGGUCAGGCUAGUUCUAGGCAUCCGCCUACAAGACUUAGAGGGCAUUCAGUUGUUCACUAGGAGGAGUAGGCAUUUUACUUUGAAAAAAUUAGAGUGUUUAAGGCAGGCAAUCGCCCGCAUAUAUUAGCAUGGAAUAAUAGAAUAGGACACUUUUCCAUUUCGUUGGUUAUUGGAAUCGUGUAAUGAUUAAUAGGGACAGUUGUGGGCAUUUGUAUUUAAUUGUCAGAGGUGAAAUUCUUGGAUUUAUUAAAGACAAACUAACGCGAAAGCAUUUGCCAAGGGUGUUUUCAUUAAUCAAGAACGAAAGUUAGGGGAUCAAAGACGAUCAGAUACCGUCCUAGUCUUAACUAUAAACUAUUCCGACUCAAUGUUUGACUGGCUUAUAUAACCAGUUGAGCGUUGUAUGAGAAAUCAAAGUCUUUAGGUUCUGGGGGGAGUAUGGUUGCAAAGCUGAAACUUAAAGGAAUUGACGGAAGAGCACAACCAGGAGUGGAUUCUGCGGCUUAAUUUGACUCAACACGGGGAAACUUACCAGGUUAAAACAAUAGUGGGAUUGACAGUUUGAGAGCGCUUUCUUGAUUGGUUGGGUGGUGGUGCAUGGCCGUUCUUAGUUGGUGGAGUGAUUUGUCUGCUUAAUUGCGUUAACGAACGAGACCUUAACCUGCUUACUAGACUGGCGAUCAUCAAUCGUUAGCUCUUCUUAGAGGGAC
rnacentral:rRNA from 1 species